ACGGGAUUUCCGAUUUAUCGGGAUGAGAGUGGCGCACGGGUGCGUAACGCGUAUGGAACCUGCCCCGUACAGGGGGAUAGCUCCCGGAAACGGGAAUUAAUACCCCAUGGAAUGCAGAUGCCGCAUGGCAUUUGUAUUAAAGCCUUCGGGCGGUACGUGAUGGUCAUGCGUAGGAUUAGCUAGUUGGCAGGGUAACGGCCUACCAAGGCAAUGAUCCUUAGGGGUUCUGAGAGGAAGGUCCCCCACACUGGCACUGAGAUACGGGCCAGACUCCCAGGCAGGUAGAGGAAUUAUUGGGGCAAUGGGCGGGAAGGCCCUGAUCCCAAGCCAUUGCCGGCGUGGCAGGAAGACGGCGGUUAUGGCGUUGUUAAACUGGCUUUUAAUCCAGUGUAAGAAAAAGGUCCUGCGGGGGCAGAUUGACCGUACCGGAUGAAUAAGCACCGGCUAACUCCGUGCCAGCAGCCGCGGUAAUACGGAGGGUGCAAGCGUUGUCCGGGAUUUAUGGGUUUAAAGGGGUGCGUAGGCGGCCUGUUAAGUCAGCGGUGAAAGUUUCCGGCUCAACCCGGGGGACUGCCGAUGAUACUGGCUGGCUUGAGUGUUGAUGGGGUACAUGGAAUUUAUGGUGUAGCGGUGAAAUGCAUAGAUACCAUAAGGAACACCGAUAGCGAAGGCAUUGUCACUUAUCAACAACUGACGCUGAGGCACGAAAGCGUGGGUAGCGAACAGGAUUAGAUACCCCUGGUAGUCCACGCCGUAAACGAU
rnacentral:rRNA from 1 species